GAUGUCUAUCAGUGAAACAAAAGCCCUGUUUUUAAUGGAGAAGUGAUGGAAGUGGCACACUCUGCAUCAGAGACAUUCACAGACAGUCAAAGGAAGAAGACCCCUCUUCCCCUGUGCCAACUGGUGGAGGACACAAAAAUAAGUCCCUCUAAUGUCCCUCAUCACCUACUAGAGACCCAAACCUAUACCAAACUCAAGAGCAACAGUGCAAUCCAUGCAGAACCCUCAGCACUUCACUUCAGUGGGUUUAAACUGGGGAAGGAUUAUCAGAGGACCUUGAAACUUAUCAACAUAUCAUCUGAAGUGAUCAACAUUCACAUUAUCCCCACCCAAACAAAGCACUUCCAAACGAAAUAUUUAAAAAAGCAUCGUCUUGUCCCCGGACUGUCCUACACAGUGAAAGUACA